rnacentral:tRNA from 1 species
UGCCUUGAAAGCUAUAAGCGACCUAUCUUGUAAAUAGGGAGAAGCUGUAUGAUCACAGCUCAAGACUA